AUAGCCCCUAGAAAGAUUGCAAGUAUGGUUACUGUGUCACAUGCAUGUCAAUAGGUGCCAUAGAAGAGACUAUGCCUAUGCACAGUGUUCUGACCUAUGAGCAGCUGAAUGAUAACUAGCCUAACAUU